rnacentral:lncRNA from 1 species
UGGACAUCAUGCCUAGACUUCAUAAAAAGAAUAGGACAAAGAUGAUUUGGAUCAUCAUCAUCUGUAUCAAAGAAGAAUAUAAGUAGUCAACGUCUUGUCCAUCAUCUAGACAAACUAUUGAACACUACAAAUGAAGAAUAUAUCUAUCUCGAACUACUCAACAAAUUAUCUGGAUCCUAGAUGAUCAUCUCAUUCUCUGGACAACAUAGAAGAUCAGGAAGCAAAGUCAGCAAUCUUUUGGAUAUCUGUUAAGACUUUGUUUCCCGCACCCUCUGAACGAAUCAAAGAAUAUGAACAUCUGAUGAUCAAAACAACGAUCGUACAUUGAAGAAUGUUUUCUAACAGUCAUAUCACACAAGUAAUGGAUAGUACAAGAGCAUGAUCCAAUGACAAUGACGUACACAUGUGCUAGAAGGAGGUAAGGUUGGAAAGAAAACUUGAUAUGUUUUAAUUGAAGGCGAUGGAGAUAUCUCUGAAAUUAAAAGAGAAGACAAUCUAAAUGAUACUAUUUUUUUU